UCUGUCUAUGGACUGUGUUUCUUCCCUGAAUAAACCUUCUUUCACUUUACUGUGGCUCACUCUUGAAUUCUUUCCUGUGCAAAACCAACAACCCACAAUUGGCAGCCAUCCCAUGGACUUGGACAUGGCCUGCUAGUGCCUGGAGAAUCCCGAGGACGGAGGAGCCUGGUUGGCUGCCGUCUAUGGGGUCGCACAGAGUCGGACACGACUGAAGCGACUUAGCAGCAGCAGCAGCAGCAGUGUAUCCUAGAAGCUUUCCAAGGCACAGGGGAUAAAUAGUUAAGAAUCCUGCCUUCUUGGAGCUUGUAUUCUAGACAGUAAACAAAAUAAUAAAAAACUGAUAUAAUAUUUUAGGAGCAUCAUUGAUUAACAAUGUUGUUAGUUUCAGAUAUACAGCAAAGUGAUUCAGUUAUAAAUAAAUAUGCAUCUAUUCUUUUUCAAA